rnacentral:rRNA from 1 species
GAUGAACGCUGGCGGCGUGCUUAACACAUGCAAGUCGAACGGAAAGGCUCCUGCUUGCAGGGGUACUCGAGUGGCGAACGGGUGAGUAACACGUGGGUGAUCUGCCCUGCACUUCGGGAUAAGCCUGGGAAACUGGGUCUAAUACCGGAUAGGACGAUGGUUUGGAUGCAAUUGUGGAAGGUUUUUCGGUGUGGGAUGAGCUCGCGGCCUAUCAGCUGGUUGGUGGGGUAAUGGCCUACCAAGGCGUCGACGGGUAGCCGGCCUGAGAGGGUGUACGGCCACAUUGGGACUGAGAUACGGCCCAGACUCCUACGGGAGGCAGCAGUGGGGAAUAUUGCACAAUGGGCGCAAGCCUGAUGCAGCGACGCCGCGUGGGGGAUGACGGCCUUCGGGUUGUAAACUCCUUUCGCUAGGGACGAAGCGCAAGUGACGGUACCUGGAGAAGAAGCACCGGCUAACUACGUG